rnacentral:rRNA from 1 species
UACGUAGGGUGCAAACGUUGUCCGGAAUUAUUGGGCGUAAAGAGCUCGUAGGCGGUUUGUCGCGUCUGCUGUGAAAACUCGGGGCUUAACCCCGGGCCUGCAGUGGGUACGGGCAGACUAGAGUGCGGUAGGGGAGACUGGAAUUCCUGGUGUAGCGGUGAAAUGCGCAGAUAUCAGGAGGAACACCGGUGGCGAAGGCGGGUCUCUGGGCCGUAACUGACGCUGAGGAGCGAAAGCGUGGGGAGCGAACAGG